rnacentral:lncRNA from 1 species
GAUUGUUAAAAAUAUAUAAGGUUAAAAUUUAUUUGUUUACAACAAAUACUUUUCAUAUGAUUUUCAAUAGGGGAAAAUUGAAUACUUUUCCUAGUUUGUAAUCAAUUUUAUAAGCAAAUUAGGAAACAUUUAUUUCAUUUUUAAAUUUAUAAUAAGAAGAAGCAAAGAAAUAUUAAGUUAAUAAUAAGUAGUUUUGAAUAUGGAUAACAUUGGAUUUACGAAGCCUUAAAUUAUAUACUUUCAAAAUUACUAAAUACAUAUUAUUAUAGAUUUUUUUACUAUUACAUGCGGAUUAUAUGAAUUUCUACUCGCUUAUAGAAUCUAUUGUAAAUAGAACAAAAUGGACAAUCUGAUUAUGUAUUCCUUUUCUAAUAAAAAGUAGAUGAAAAUUUCCAGAAACUUAUCAACAACAUAAAAGGUGGUUUAGUAUUCUUCGACAAAAGAUACAACAGACUAGCUAACGAAAUUAAAUUUAUUUACACUAUUCUACAUAAUCGUAAAUGAUGGAGGGGACAAGCACACAUGUCACGUAAACAAAGCGCUAGAAAGACAAUUAGAAAUUUUCCAGCGGUAACAAAGGCGAGUAACCUUUUGCGGAUGAGUCGAAUCGACAAAGGCGGUUCGAUGGGCGAAAGCUACUACAGAGGGAAACGAAUGCAGAAAAGUUACAAUAAUUCUACAAGAUCGGCCAAGUGCCCUCGAUCGGACUGCAACCGUAACUGUUUUCUGUUUAUUUAUCAGGUACAGAAAGUGAUUUUUAAAUUUUACAUAUUCCAUAUCACUAAAUAAUUACAAGGCUAAAGUAUCCAUUAUACUAUAUCCAUUCUAGCGAAGUUAACUGGGAUAAAAGUGACCCGAUCAUGUUAAUUAGGAACAUAAUAAUCGGAAUAAUAUCAGUGUUCAUACAAGGUUAAGUUAAUAGAGAUCAGUUGCUCCGUUUCGUAUAGACAGAUGGCGCUAUAAUCGAGAAAACUUUUUGAGUAUGAUGGUGGAAUAUGAGAAUUUGGAUCUAUAGAAUGUAAUUCAUUAUUGUAUUAAUUAAAUGAUAAUACAAUAAUGAAUUACAUUCUAUACUAUAUUCUAUCUCGUAAUAAAUAUAAUAUAUAAUAUACACUUACAUUUUUUUUGUUCAAACUAAGGUCAUCUAAAUUUUGAUUUCCAAACAUUGACCAGCAAAUAAACUUCUGUGUCUGUCCAAUUUAUUAUCCUUUUACUAAAUUUGUUAUUUGUCAUUUCCAUUUUGUUUAUGGAUUGAAAAACCGUAAUCAAAUCAUUAACAGUAAUUUUUGAAACUCUCAAUAGUCAACACUUCACUGUGUCAUCACUACACAGUUGAAAAAGAAUUAAUUCGUUCUUGUGUAAAGGGUUAAGCUAAUAUGGUUUCUGGCUAGUUGAUCGUAGUUUGUUAAUUCUGUUCCAUUCAAAAGCAAAACUUGAUCGGGGCUAAAAGAUUUGAUUAAGAUUAACUUUUGUAGUGUGA